GAUUUUGUUUAUAGUGUUGCGGUUACACACCUGUUUUUGAUUCGAAGCUAAAGCCACCACGAGCACUCCAGAACCUAUUAUUGACCAACAUUUUGCUCAAUUAGUCACUUAAACGAUCAGAUUAAACUUAACCCCAAAAUAAAAAAGUCAUCUUCCAAGUGAAAAAACCCUUACCUUACGAACUACGGACGUUUCCCUCUAUAAAUCGGCACUAACACAUCCCCUCACACCAGAUUUUCUGCUGACAAC
rnacentral:lncRNA from 1 species